rnacentral:rRNA from 1 species
GACGAACGCUGGCGGCGUGCUUAACGCAUGCAAGUCGAACGAGGUCCAUCCAGCUUGCUGGUGAAGACCGAGUGGCGAACGGGUGAGUAACACGUGAGGAACCCACCCCGGAGACCAGGAUAACCCUCCGAAAGGAGAGCUAAUACCGGAUGCCCUCAUCGGAUCGCAUGUUCUGAUGAGGAAAUGGAUUCCGCUCCGGGACGGCCUCGCGGCCUAUCAGCUUGUUGGUGGGGUAACGGCCCACCAAGGCGUCGACGGGUAGCUGGUCUGAGAGGACGGUCAGCCACACUGGGACUGAGACACGGCCCAGACUCCUACGGGAGGCAGCAGCGGGGAAUAUUGCGCAAUGGGCGAAAGCCUGACGCAGCAACGCCGCGUGAGGGAUGGAGGCUUUCGGGUUGUAAACCUCUUUCAGCAGGGACGAUUGUGACGGUACCUGCAGAAGAAGCCCCGGCCAACUAUGUGCCAGCAGCCGCCGUAACAC